UACGUAGGGGGCUAGCGUUGUCCGGAUUUAUUGGGCGUAAAGAGCGUGUAGGCGGCCAGGUAGGUCUGCUGUGAAAACUCGAGGCUCAACCUCGAGACGUCGGCGGAAACCAUCUGGCUAGAGUCCGGAAGAGGAGAGUGGAAUUCCUGGUGUAGCGGUGAAAUGCGCAGAUAUCAGGAAGAACACCGGUGGCGAAGGCGGGUCUCUGGGCAAUAACUGACGCUGAGGAGCGAAAGCGUGGGGAGCGAACAGG
rnacentral:rRNA from 1 species